rnacentral:rRNA from 1 species
CGGACGGGUGAGUAACACGUGGAUAACCUACCUAUAAGACUGGGAUAACUUCGGGAAACCGGAGCUAAUACCGGAUAAUAUUUUGAACCGCAUGGUUCAAAAGUGAAAGACGGUCUUGCUGCCACUUAUAGAUGGAUCCGCGCUGCAUUAGCUAGUUGGUAAGGUAACGGCUUACCAAGGCAACGAUGCAUAGCCGACCUGAGAGGGUGAUCGGCCACACUGGAACUGAGACACGGUCCAG